AUUAAAUGGCAAUAAUAGCUACGCACUCGCUGCCUAAUUAACCGAGUUAAUUGGCUUAAUCCACGCGCCCAAGGCUGGUGUGAGGACGAGUACUCCGCAGAGUCGACCCGCUUCUUGUCGGCACUGCAUACGGAGUAUCAUCAAUGAGAAGAUAGUCGGUGGAGUGUUCCGACCAUUCGGCGAAACUUUAGGAACUGGGACCACGGUUUGGUUGUUGCCCACCGGGCUGUGGUAGGAGGAUUAAGCGGUGACUAAGCGUGUAGAAAUCCUUCAGGCAGACUGUUUUGACGGGGGUUCGACUCCCCCCAGCUCCACAA
rnacentral:tmRNA from 1 species